rnacentral:rRNA from 1 species
GUCGAGCGAACAGAUAAGGAGCUUGCUCCUUUGACGUUAGCGGCGGACGGGUGAGUAACACGUGGGUAACCUACCUAUAAGACUGGGAUAACUUCGGGAAACCGGAGCUAAUACCGGAUAACAUUUGGAACCGCAUGGUUCUAAAGUGAAAGAUGGUUUUGCUAUCACUUAUAGAUGGACCCGCGCCGUAUUAGCUAGUUGGUAAGGUAACGGCUUACCAAGGCGACGAUACGUAGCCGACCUGAGAGGGUGAUCGGCCACACUGGAACUGAGACACGGUCCAGACUCCUACGGGAGGCAGCAGUAGGGAAUCUUCCGCAAUGGGCGAAAGCCUGACGGAGCAACGCCGCGUGAGUGAUGAAGGGUUUCGGCUCGUAAAACUCUGUUAUUAGGGAAGAACAAAUGUGUAAGUAACUGUGCACAUCUUGACGGUACCUAAUCAGAAAGCCACGGCUAACUACGUGCCAGCAGCCGCGGUAAUACGUAGGUGGCAAGCGUUAUCCGGAAUUAUUGGGCGUAAAGCGCGCGUAGGCGGUUUCUUAAGUCUGAUGUGAAAGCCCACGGCUCAACCGUGGAGGGUCAUUGGAAACUGGGAAACUUGAGUGCAGAAGAGGAAAGUGGAAUUCCAUGUGUAGCGGUGAAAUGCGCAGAGAUAUGGAGGAACACCAGUGGCGAAGGCGACUUUCUGGUCUGUAACUGACGCUGAUGUGCGAAAGCGUGGGGAUCAAACAGGAUUAGAUACCCUGGUAGUCCACGCCGUAAACGAUGAGUGCUAAGUGUUAGGGGGUUUCCGCCCCUUAGUGCUGCAGCUAACGCAUUAAGCACUCCGCCUGGGGAGUACGACCGCAAGGUUGAAACUCAAAGGAAUUGACGGGGACCCGCACAAGCGGUGGAGCAUGUGGUUUAAUUCGAAGCAACGCGAAGAACCUUACCAAAUCUUGACAUCCUUUGAAAACUCUAGAGAUAGAGCCUUCCCCUUCGGGGGACAAAGUGACAGGUGGUGCAUGGUUGUCGUCAGCUCGUGUCGUGAGAUGUUGGGUUAAGUCCCGCAACGAGCGCAACCCUUAAGCUUAGUUGCCAUCAUUAAGUUGGGCACUCUAGGUUGACUGCCGGUGACAAACCGGAGGAAGGUGGGGAUGACGUCAAAUCAUCAUGCCCCUUAUGAUUUGGGCUACACACGUGCUACAAUGGACAAUACAAAGGGCAGCUAAACCGCGAGGUCAUGCAAAUCCCAUAAAGUUGUUCUCAGUUCGGAUUGUAGUCUGCAACUCGACUACAUGAAGCUGGAAUCGCUAGUAAUCGUAGAUCAGCAUGCUACGGUGAAUACGUUCCCGGGUCUUGUACACACCGCCCGUCACACCACGAGAGUUUGUAACACCCGAAGCCGGUGGAGUAACCAUUUAUGGAGCU